rnacentral:rRNA from 1 species
GACGAACGCUGGCGGCGUGCUUAACACAUGCGAGUCGAACGGAAAGGCCCUGCUUUUGUGGGGCGCUCGAGUGGCGAACGGGUGAGUAAAACGUGAGUAUCCCCCACUUGACUUUGGGAUAUCAUCUCGAAAAUGGGGCUAAUAUCGCAUAGGAGCUCUUGCUGCAUGGUGUGGGUUGGAAAGUUUCGGCUGUUGGGGAUUUAAUCGCGGCUUCUCCGCUUGUUGGUGGGGUUGUGGCUUACCAAGGUUUCGACGGGUAGCCGGCCUGAGAGGGUGACCGGCCACAUGGGGACUGAGAGACGGACCAGACGCCUACGGGAGGCAGCAGUGGGAAAUAUUACAGAAUGGGCGGAAGCGUGAUGCAGCAACGCCGCGUGCGGGAUGACGGCUUACGGGGGAUAAACCGCUUUCGCCUGAGACAAGGCGGGAGUGACGGUAAUGGAUAAGAAAGCACCGGCUAACUACGUG